GAAGGUGUAGCUCAGUGGUAGAGCGCAUGCUUAGCACGCAUAAGGUCCUGGGUUCAAUCCCCAGUAUCUCCU
rnacentral:tRNA from 1 species